CCUACGGGUGGCUGCAGUGGGGAAUAUUGGACAAUGGGGGGAACCCUGAUCCAGCCAUGCCGCGUGUGUGAAGAAGGCCCUCGGGUUGUAAAGCACUUUCAGUGAGGAAGAACGCCUGGUGGUUAAUACCCAUCAGGAAAGACAUCACUCACAGAAGAAGCACCGGCUAACUCCGUGCCAGCAGCCGCGGUAAUACGGAGGGUGCGAGCGUUAAUCGGAAUUACUGGGCGUAAAGCGCGCGUAGGUGGCUUGAUAAGCCGGUUGUGAAAGCCCCGGGCUCAACCUGGGAACGGCAUCCGGAACUGUCAAGCUAGAGUGCAGGAGAGGAAGGUAGAAUUCCCGGUGUAGCGGUGAAAUGCGUAGAGAUCGGGAGGAAUACCAGUGGCGAAGGCGGCCUUCUGGACUGACACUGACACUGAGGUGCGAAAGCAUGGGUAGCAAACAGGAUUAGAUACCCUAGUAGUC
rnacentral:rRNA from 1 species